CAGCAGCCGCGGGAAAACGUAGGGUGCGAGCGUUAAUCGGAAUUACUGGGCGUAAGGCGUGCGCAGGCGGUUCGUUAAGACAGAUGUGAAAUCCCCGGGCUUAACCUGGGAACUGCAUUUGUGACUGGCGAGCUAGAGUAUGGCAGAGGGGGGUAGAAUUCCACGUGUAGCAGUGAAAUGCGUAGAGAUGUGGAGGAAUACCGAUGGCGAAGGCAGCCCCCUGGGCCAAUACUGACGCUCAUGCACGAAAGCGUGGGGAGCAAACAGGAUUAGAUACCCCCGUAGUCCCUGUCUCUUAUAC
rnacentral:rRNA from 1 species